rnacentral:lncRNA from 1 species
UGGCUUGGUAAUAAGUAAAAUUUAAGAAACGGGUGUAAAUGCGUCGUAUAGAAUUGUUUCGGAUUUAAUUGUGCCUUAUGAAAGAAAAUGGGAUGUGGGAAAGAUUACCAGCAUUUUUGUCCCUAAAGUGGCAAAAAAUAUUUUAGGUAUCCCUUUAGCUCUGCACCUGUAUCUGUAUAUGGUGGUUUAGCAGGUUGAUUCCUCAAGCGAGUAUUCAGUUUGAAAUGGAUACAUAUUAUUAUAAGGCCAUAAUGAAAUACAUGAUCAUGAAGCUACUAGUUGUUACAAGACUUUCUACAAAAGGCUAUGGAAACUAAAAUUGCUUGCAAAGAUUAAAAUUACAGUAUGGAGAAUCUUUAAGAAUCUAAUUCCUAAUUCAUACAAUCUAUACAACAUGCAUUUGACUGGCUCAGUGAUAUGCCCAAAGUGCGUAAAGGAUGUGGAGGAUUUGAAGCAUGGUUUUCGGGAUUGCUCAUUUGUUACUGAAGUUUGGAACUUGCUGAAUAUAAAAUGGAACGGGGUGAGAGGGGAACAAUCUUUCCAGGAUUGGCUAAAGGGAAUUUUCAAUGCAUCAUCGGAGGAUACUUGUUGUCGGAUAACAUGUGAUAUGGUUCAUCUGGUCAGAGAGGAAUAGGUGGGUCCAUGACAGAGUUUUUUCAUCGACACAACAGAUUGCACAUAAGAUUUUACAGUAUUUACAGGAACUAAGGGGGAUUCAGAAGAAGUUACCUAUAUCGCCGGUGGGUUUUGAAAUAUGGAAACCGCCGGAGGAUCCUUAUAUCAAAAUAAACUUUGAUACAACGCUUCUUGAGAGUUCUUCAAAGUCUUGUUCAGGUAUAGUUAUCAGAG